AGGUUAGUUGGUCAGCAGGCCGCAGGGACCCUCCUGCCUCUACCUCCCCAGGUCUGGGAUUACAAGAAAAGCUGAAAGAACUGUGCGCUGAAUUCCACCAUCCCCUCCACCUGGAGUGCCUGGGAUCAGGGCAUUCAUGGGCUGCCAUCAUUCCUAACCCACCUGAAUGCCGUGACUCUAUGCAGCGUUUUCAAGGGGCCAAGCCAUGCUUCUAGAUUAGUCAUCACUGAUAAGCCACUGCAAGAAAUAAGUGAUGUUUGUAAAAAGAAACCAUCAGAGUUCAUGGACCACCGUGGGAGCCCAGCAAAGACCCACACCUCACCUCAAUGUAAUGCGCUGGGGUUCCCAGGAGCGUUCCUGGCAAAGUCAUGCAGGGACCGUCAGACCAUGGGCAGCUUGGAGAGGUUCCCCAGCUCUCAGCACAGACACUGAAGACCCAAAGGCAGAGUGCAGGAUGCUGGACAGCCUCUUCCACCAUCCAGUCAUGACUCCAGGGAGGGGAUCAGUGCCAGCCACAGCCACUCAGCCAUGACAUGGUAGGCAGAGCCCGGCUCCUGGCCGGGUCCCUCCUCUUACCAGGACAAGAGUAGGAUUUUUUUAAAUUGUUUUCAAAACAGAUUUCAUGUGGUCCCAAAAUGAGACCAUGAUUGUAAAUUAAAGUGUAAUUAGCCUUUCUGCUUUUAUAUUCAUUAACUCUUCCCUGUUAAUGAUGCAAGGCUGGAGCGGAACCCCCGCAUUAUAAAAACCACAUCCAGGAAAUAAAAUAGUGAUUUAGAUAAUAGCCACAAUGUAUUGCUGCUUACACAUAAUUAAACAA